rnacentral:rRNA from 11 species
AAAUUGAAGAGUUUGAUCAUGGCUCAGAUUGAACGCUGGCGGCAGGCCUAACACAUGCAAGUCGAACGGUAACAGGAAGCAGCUUGCUGCUUCGCUGACGAGUGGCGGACGGGUGAGUAAUGUCUGGGAAACUGCCUGAUGGAGGGGGAUAACUACUGGAAACGGUGGCUAAUACCGCAUAACGUCGCAAGACCAAAGAGGGGGACCUUCGGGCCUCUUGCCAUCAGAUGUGCCCAGAUGGGAUUAGCUUGUUGGUGAGGUAACGGCUCACCAAGGCGACGAUCCCUAGCUGGUCUGAGAGGAUGACCAGCCACACUGGAACUGAGACACGGUCCAGACUCCUACGGGAGGCAGCAGUGGGGAAUAUUGCACAAUGGGCGCAAGCCUGAUGCAGCCAUGCCGCGUGUAUGAAGAAGGCCUUCGGGUUGUAAAGUACUUUCAGCGGGGAGGAAGGUGUUGUGGUUAAUAACCGCAGCAAUUGACGUUACCCGCAGAAGAAGCACCGGCUAACUCCGUGCCAGCAGCCGCGGUAAUACGGAGGGUGCAAGCGUUAAUCGGAAUUACUGGGCGUAAAGCGCACGCAGGCGGUCUGUCAAGUCGGAUGUGAAAUCCCCGGGCUCAACCUGGGAACUGCAUUCGAAACUGGCAGGCUUGAGUCUUGUAGAGGGGGGUAGAAUUCCAGGUGUAGCGGUGAAAUGCGUAGAGAUCUGGAGGAAUACCGGUGGCGAAGGCGGCCCCCUGGACAAAGACUGACGCUCAGGUGCGAAAGCGUGGGGAGCAAACAGGAUUAGAUACCCUGGUAGUCCACGCCGUAAACGAUGUCUACUUGGAGGUUGUGCCCUUGAGGCGUGGCUUCCGGAGCUAACGCGUUAAGUAGACCGCCUGGGGAGUACGGCCGCAAGGUUAAAACUCAAAUGAAUUGACGGGGGCCCGCACAAGCGGUGGAGCAUGUGGUUUAAUUCGAUGCAACGCGAAGAACCUUACCUGGUCUUGACAUCCACGGAAGUUUUCAGAGAUGAGAAUGUGCCUUCGGGAACCGUGAGACAGGUGCUGCAUGGCUGUCGUCAGCUCGUGUUGUGAAAUGUUGGGUUAAGUCCCGCAACGAGCGCAACCCUUAUCCUUUGUUGCCAGCGGUUAGGCCGGGAACUCAAAGGAGACUGCCAGUGAUAAACUGGAGGAAGGUGGGGAUGACGUCAAGUCAUCAUGGCCCUUACGACCAGGGCUACACACGUGCUACAAUGGCGCAUACAAAGAGAAGCGACCUCGCGAGAGCAAGCGGACCUCAUAAAGUGCGUCGUAGUCCGGAUUGGAGUCUGCAACUCGACUCCAUGAAGUCGGAAUCGCUAGUAAUCGUGGAUCAGAAUGCCACGGUGAAUACGUUCCCGGGCCUUGUACACACCGCCCGUCACACCAUGGGAGUGGGUUGCAAAAGAAGUAGGUAGCUUAACCUUCGGGAGGGCGCUUACCACUUUGUGAUUCAUGACUGGGGUGAAGUCGUAACAAGGUAACCGUAGGGGAACCUGCGGUUGGAUCACCUCCUUA